rnacentral:lncRNA from 1 species
UGCCGGUGCUAUGUUUUGCUAAUCCAAAAGGUGCAGUUUAUCAUUGCCCUUCAAGUAUGGUGCCAGCAUAUAUGUGUUUUAACUUUUUGUCCCUUGUUUUGCUAUGUUUAACCUUUCAUGCCCAGCUUCUUUGAUAAACUAAUUGUCCCCUUCAAGGCCACUGACUGCAUGACGGAGAGGUUAUCAAUUGGACAGAUUUGUCCUUCAUUUCAUUACUCGGUGCUGACUCUUUCUCUAUUUUUAUCUCAUUUGUCCAUUACACUUUUUGAAGGAUGAUAAUAAUCUGUCAACAUUGCAGAAUGGCCAUGCUUCUCUUUGUAUUCAUACACAAAUUUGAAGCUUAUAGCUUGAUUUACAUCUGAAUGACUUCGGCUUUAGUGUUUACUAGAAGAGUUGGGCGCGCUUUGCUGCGUCGUUGAUGUAAUUGGGUUUUCAUACUUUUUUUACUCCAUCUAUUUCAAAAUAUAAGGUGUAUUACUUUUUUUUAACUGUCAAACCUAUUUAAGUUUGACCGAAUUUGUGUGGAAAUAUAUCAAUAUCUAUAAUAUCAAGUCUGAUUUUUAGAUUCAUCAUGAAAUGAAUUUACAUAUUUCAUUUAUUUAGUACUCCCUUCGUCUCAAAAUUCUUGUCUUAAAU